UACGUAGGGUGCAAGCGUUGUCCGGAAUUAUUGGGCGUAAAGAGCUCGUAGGCGGUUUGUCGCGUCUGCUGUGAAAACCCGAGGCUCAACCUCGGGCCUGCAGUGGGUACGGGCAGACUAGAGUGCAGUAGGGGAGAUUGGAAUUCCUGGUGUAGCGGUGAAAUGCGCAGAUAUCAGGAGGAACACCGGUGGCGAAGGCGGGUCUCUGGGCCGUAACUGACGCUGGAGGAGCGGAAAAGCAUGGGGAGCGAAACAGG
rnacentral:rRNA from 1 species